UACGUAGGGUGCAAGCGUUUAAUCGGAAUUACUGGGCGUAAAGCGUGCGCAGGCGGUUGUGUAAGACAGAUGUGAAAUCCCCGGGCUCAACCUGGGAACUGCAUUUGUGACUGCACAGCUGGAGUGCGGCAGAGGGGGGAUGGAAUUCCGCGUGUAGCAGUGAAAUGCGUAGAUAUGCGGAGGAACACCGAUGGCGAAGGCAAUCCCCUGGGCCUGCACUGACGCUCAUGCACGAAAGCGUGGGGAGCAAACAGG
rnacentral:rRNA from 1 species